rnacentral:rRNA from 1 species
GAUGAACGCUGGCGGCGUGCCUAAUACAUGCAAGUCGAGCGAACGGACGAGAAGCUUGCUUCUCUGAUGUUAGCGGCGGACGGGUGAGUAACACGUGGAUAACCUACCUAUAAGACUGGGAUAACUUCGGGAAACCGGAGCUAAUACCGGAUAAUAUUUUGAACCGCAUGGUUCAAAAGUGAAAGACGGUCUUGCUGUCACUUAUAGAUGGAUCCGCGCUGCAUUAGCUAGUUGGUAAGGUAACGGCUUACCAAGGCAACGAUGCAUAGCCGACCUGAGAGGGUGAUCGGCCACACUGGAACUGAGACACGGUCCAGACUCCUACGGGAGGCAGCAGUAGGGAAUCUUCCGCAAUGGGCGAAAGCCUGACGGAGCAACGCCGCGCGAGUGAUGAAGGUCUUCGGAUCGUAAAACUCUGUUAUUAGGGAAGAACAUAUGUGUAAGUAACUGUGCACAUCUUGACGGUACCUAAUCAGAAAGCCACGGCUAACUACGUGCCAGCAGCCGCGGUAAUACGUAGGUGGCAAGCGUUAUCCGGAAUUAUUGGGCGUAAAGCGCGCGUAGGCGGUUUUUUAAGUCUGAUGUGAAAGCCCACGGCUCAACCGUGGAGGGUCAUUGGAAACUGGAAAACUUGAGUGCAGAAGAGGAAAGUGGAAUUCCAUGUGUAGCGGUGAAAUGCGCAGAGAUAUGGAGGAACACCAGUGGCGAAGGCGACUUUCUGGUCUGUAACUGACGCUGAUGUGCGAAAGCGUGGGGAUCAAACAGAAUUAGAUGCCCUGGUAGUCCACGCCGUAAACGAUGAGUGCUAAGUGUUAGGGGGUUUCCGCCCCUUAGUGCUGCAGCUAACGCAUUAAGCACUCCGCCUGGGGAGUACGACCGCAAGGUUGAAACUCAAAGGAAUUGACGGGGACCCGCACAAGCGGUGGAGCAUGUGGUUUAAUUCGAAGCAACGCGAAGAACCUUACCAAAUCUUGACAUCCUUUGACAACUCUAGAGAUAGAGCUUUCCCCUUCGGGGGACAAAGUGACAGGUGGUGCAUGGUUGUCGUCAGCUCGUGUCGUGAGAUGUUGGGUUAAGUCCCGCAACGAGCGCAACCCUUAAGCUUAGUUGCCAUCAUUAAGUUGGGCACUCUAAGUUGACUGCCGGUGACAAACCGGAGGAAGGUGGGGAUGACGUCAAAUCAUCAUGCCCCUUACGAUUUGGGCUACACACGUGCUACAAUGGACAAUACAAAGGGCAGCGAAACCGCGAGGUCAAGCAAAUCCCAUAAAGUUGUUCUCAGUUCGGAUUGUAGUCUGCAACUCGACUACAUGAAGCUGGAAUCGCUAGUAAUCGUAGAUCAGCAUGCUACGGUGAAUACGUUCCCGGGUCU